GACGAACGCUGGCGGCGUGCUUAACACAUGCAAGUCGAACGGUGAAGCGCCUUCCUUUUUGGUGGGUGUGGAUGAGUGGCGAACGGGUGAGUAACACGUUAGUAACCUGCCCCCUUCUUCUGGAUAACCGCAUGAAAGUGUGGCUAAUACGGGAUAUUCUGGGUCUGUCGCAUGAUGGGUCUGGGAAAGUUAUUGUUUCGGUGGGGGAUGGGCGCGCGGCCUAUCUGCUUGUUGGUGGGGUGAUGGCCUACCAAGGCGGUGAGGGGUGGCCGGCCUGAGAGGGUGGGCGGCCACACUGGGGCAGUGAGACGGGCACGAGUCGUAUAGGAGGCAGAGGAGUGGAGUAUUGCACAAUAGGCGCAAGCGUGAUGCAGCGACGCGGCGUGAGGGAUGUAGGCCUGCGGGUUGUGAACCUCUUUCGCUAGUGAAGCAGGCCUGCCUUGUUUGUGGGUGGGUUGACGGUAGCUGAAGAAGAAGCGCCGGCUAACUACGUG
rnacentral:rRNA from 1 species